UACGUAGGGGGCAAGCGUUGUCCGGAUUUACUGGGCGUAAAGAGCGUGUAGGCGGCCACGCAGGUCCGUUGUGAAAACUGGAGGCUCAACUUCCAGCCGUCGACGGAAACCGUGUGGCUAGAGUCCGGAAGAGGAGAGUGGAAUUCCUGGUGUAGCGGUGAAAUGCGCAGAUAUCAGGAAGAACACCAACGGCGAAGGCAGCUCGCUGGGACGGUACUGACGCUGAGACGCGAAAGCGUGGGGAGCGAACAGG
rnacentral:rRNA from 1 species